rnacentral:misc_RNA from 1 species
GGCGCGGCCGGCGGAUGGCUGGUUUGCCUUAACCACUGUUGAAACAGCCCCACCAAACCGCCCUUAUUUCACCCGGAAUGGCAUUAAGAUGCGUUAAAUAGUCCCGAGAGGUUCCCUUGGCAUCCGGGGGCACCACACCUAGAUUGUAAUGCAACCCGCACCGAAAACGUGUUGAAGACCCAAGGACAUCAGGCCGCGUUCCAUGCGGCCACGAAGGAAGCCCAAUGAACGCCAAUCUGCGCAAUUUCGCCCUCUGGGUCAUUAUCGUCUUGCUGCUGUUGGCAUUAUUCACGUUGUUCCAGAAUCCGGGGCAGCGGGCCGCCUCGCAGGACAUUUCGUUCUCCCAGCUUCUGACCGAGGUUGACCAGAGCCGCGUCCGCGACGUGGUCAUCCAGGGGCCGGACAUCAACGGCACCUUCACCAACGGUUCGACCUUCCAUACCUACGCGCCGAACGACCCGACGCUGAUCAAGCGCCUCUAUGACGGCAAGGUGUCGAUCACCGCCAAGCCGCCGGGAGACAACGUGCNNNNNNCCGUGGUUCGUGUCGCUGCUGGUGUCAUGGCUGCCGUUCAUCGCGCUGAUCGGCGUGUGGA